GACGAACGCUGGCGGCGUGCUUAACACAUGCAAGUCGAACGAAGUGGCGAACGGGUGAGUAAUACGUUGGUAACCUGCCCUCCUUUUUGGGAUAAGCCUUGGAAACGGGGUCUAAUACCGAAUAAAGGGGGAUGGGAUCGCGGCCUAUCAGCUUGUUGGUGGGGUGAUGGCCUACCAAGGCGGUGACGGGUAGUCGGCCUGAGAGGGUGACCGGCAACUGUGGGACGGAGAUACGGCCCAGACUCGUACGGGAGGGGGCAGUGGGGGAUAUUGCACAAGGGGCGAAAGGCAGAUGCAGCGACGCCGCGUGGGGGAUGAGGGCUUUCGGGUUGUAAACCUCUUUCGCAAUCGAACGGGUAGGUAGAGAAGAAGCGCCGGCUAACUACGUGCCAGCAGCCGCGGUAAUAC
rnacentral:rRNA from 1 species